rnacentral:tRNA from 1 species
GCCUGGUUGGCUCAGUUGGAAGAGCAUGUGACUCUUGAUCUUGGGGUUGUGAGUUUGAGCCCUACAUUGGGUG